GAUGAACGCUGGCGGCGUGCCUAAUACAUGCAAGUCGAGCGAACAGAUGAGGAGCUUGCUCCUCUGACGUUAGCGGCGGACGGGUGAGUAACACGUGGAUAACCUACCUAUAAGACUGGGAUAACUUCGGGAAACCGGAGCUAAUACCGGAUAAUAUAUUGAACCGCAUGGUUCAAUAGUGAAAGACGGUUUUGCUGUCACUUAUAGAUGGAUCCGCGCCGCAUUAGCUAGUUGGUAAGGUAACGGCUUACCAAGGCAACGAUGCGUAGCCGACCUGAGAGGGGUCUCGCCCCCCCGGGAACUGAGACACGGUCCCGACCCCUACGGGGGGCAGCGGUGGGGAACCUUCCGCAAGGGGCGAAAGCCUAACGGGCCAACCCCGCGUGGGGGAUGAAGGUUUUCGGUUCGUAAACCUUUUUUUUUAGGGAAAAAAAAAUGUUUAAGUAACUAUGCCCUUUUUGACGGUACCUAAUCAAAAAGCCACGGCUAACUACGG
rnacentral:rRNA from 1 species